rnacentral:rRNA from 1 species
AGCAGCCGCGGUAAUUCCAGCUCCAAUAGCGUAUAUUAAAGUUGUUGCAGUUAAAAAGCUCGUAGUUGAAUUUCGAGAUCAAAUUGUUGGUCGUGCCUUGGUACGUACUGACAUUAUUGGUUUCUCCCUUCUGAAGAACCAUGAUGUCAUUAAUUUGGUGUCAUGGGGAAUCAGGACUGUUACUUUGAAAAAAUUAGAGUGUUUAAAGCAGGCUCGCGCUUGAAUACAUUAGCAUGGAAUAAUGAAAUAGGACGUUUAAUUCUAUUUUGUUGGUUUCUAGGAUUGACGUAAUGAUUAAUAGGGAUAGUUGGGGGCAUUAGUAUUCAAUUGUCAGAGGUGAAAUUUUUGGAUUUAUUGAAGACUAACUACUGCGAAAGCAUUUGCCAAGGAUGUUUUCAUUAAUCAAGACGAAAGUUAGGGGAUCGAAGACGAUCAGAUACCGUCGUAGUCUUAACCAUAAACUAUGCCGACUAGGGAUCGGAUGAUGUUAAUUUUUAAUUGACUCAUUCGGCGCCG